CCAGACUCCUACGGGAGGCAGCAGUGGGGAAUAUUGCACAAUGGGGGAAACCCUGAUGCAGCGACGCCGCGUGAGUGAAGAAGUAUUUCGGUAUGUAAAGCUCUAUCAGCAGGGAAGAAAAUGACGGUACCUGACUAAGAAGCCCCGGCUAACUACGUGCCAGUAGCCGCGGUAAUACGUAGGGGGCAAGCGUUAUCCGGAUUUACUGGGUGUAAAGGGAGCGUAGACGGCAGAGCAAGUCUGAAGUGAAAGCCCGCGGCCCAACUGCGGGACUGCUUUGGAAACUGCCCGGCUAGAGUGCUGGAGAGGUAAGCGGAAUUCCUAGUGUAGCGGUGAAAUGCGUAGAUAUUAGGAAGAACACCAGUGGCGAAGGCGGCUUUCUGGACUGAAACUGACGCUGAGGCACGAAAGCGUGGGGAGCGAACAGGAUUAGAUACCCUAGUAA
rnacentral:rRNA from 1 species